AUUCAUAUUCAAUAAAUAUCUACGGACGUGAACGAGAUAUGAAAUGAAACAUCUGGAAGAUAUUUGGAAAGCGGACAUCUGGAUAUUACCUAUACAUCUUAUAAACGUCUUUCAGAUCUGUCAAGAUAUUACUCUGGAUAUCCCUUAUAUCAGAUCUGGACGUUCGGGGGGUUGCUUGGGUACGGAUUUGCAUUGUAUGCGUCGCUACGUAAUCGGUGCCUUGUUGCUGGCUGGCAGUCGUUAUGCAGUAUAAUCGAUUCUCGAAUGACGAAUCGCAACUGCGUUCUUUCGACUUUUCGUCCGGUUCAGUUUUCACUUGGCACUCGGACAGCACACAUAAAUAACUGGAAAAAUGCAUUGAACGGGGUGAUUGAAUAGAUUGUGCAGAAUCCCGUUCGGAGUAGUGCAUCGGUAUGCUGAAAUUUUUCCGAAAAAUCAAUGGAGGUGACAGCUAUCUUCCACAUUGUAGAAUGAGAGGCUGGAGUGCGGCCGAAUCCACGUAAUUGGUUUCCCGAUGUACGAAGCACGUAAGCGUACUGGCCGAAUGUUACAAAUGACAAAAAAUACAAUAGAGCGGUGGCGAAGAUGAUAGAAAAAGUUGCAUCGUGGACAGAAGUGUCAGUUUACCGGUCACCGGGCUCGACAAAUGGAGGUGACAGCAUACUACAACUUUGUAGAAUUUGAUGAUGCAGUGAAGAUGAUUUCCCGAAGUACAAAGCACGUGAGAAUGCUGGCCGAAUGUUACAAAUGAUGAAGCAUACGAUGUCGCAGUGGCAAAGAUGAUAGAAGUAGGUGCAUCGAAGACAGAAGUGCCAGUUCUCCGAUCACCGGGCUCAACAAAUCUGUCAAGAUAUUACUCUGGAUAUCCCUUAUAUCAGAUCUGGACGUUCGGGGGGUUGCUUGGGUACGGAUUUGCAUUGUAUGCGUCGCUACGUAAUCGGUGCCUUGUUGCUGGCUGGCAGUCGUUAUGCAGUAUAAUCGAUUCUCGAAUGACGAAUCGCAACUGCGUUCUUUCGACUUUUCGUCCGGUUCAGUUUUCACUUGGCACUCGGAGAGCACACAUAAAUAACUGGGAAAAUGCAUUGAACGGGGUGAUUGAAUAGAUUGUGCAGAAUCCCGUUCGGAGUAGUGCAUCGGUAUGCUGAAAUUUUUCCGAAAAAUCAGUUAGGUCAGGUGGCUUGCCUGAGUCAUAUCAUUCUAUACAUGAUGCCUGUUGACGAUGACAGCCGUUGACGCAGCAAACACUCUUAAUUUUUGAUAUUCCUGAUUUCUAAAGUUUUAAAAUCAAUAAUUCAUCAUAUCGAACAAUAUCAUAUUCAGCUACGAUGACAUCGACAGAUGGAGGUGACAGCUAUCUUCCACAUUGUAGAAUGAGAGGCUGGAGUGCGGCCGAAUCCACGUAAUUGGUUUCCCAAUGUACGAAGCACGUAAGCAUACUGGCCGAAUGUUACAAAUGACAAAAAAUACAAUAGAGCGGUGGCGAAGAUGAUAGAAAAAGUUGCAUCGUGGACAGAAGUGUCAGUUUACCGGUCACCGGGCUCGACAAAUGGAGGUGACAGCAUACUACAACUUUGUAGAAUUUGAUGAUGCAGUGAAGAUGAUUUCCCGAAGUACAAAGCACGUGAGAAUGCUGGCCGAAUGUUACAAAUGAUGAAGCAUACGAUGUCGCAGUGGCAAAGAUGAUAGAAGUAGGUGCAUCGAAGACAGAAGUGCCAGUUCUCCGAUCACCGGGCUCAACAAAUCUGUCAAGAUAUUACUCUGGAUAUCCCUUAUAUCAGAUCUGGACGUUCGGGGGGUUGCUUGGGUACGGAUUUGCAUUGUAUGCGUCGCUACGUAAUCGGUGCCUUGUUGCUGGCUGGCAGUCGUUAUGCAGUAUAAUCGAUUCUCGAAUGACGAAUCGCAACUGCGUUCUUUCGACUUUUCGUCCGGUUCAGUUUUCACUUGGCACUCGGAGAGCACACAUAAAUAACUGGGAAAAUGCAUUGAACGGGGUGAUUGAAUAGAUUGUGCAGAAUCCCGUUCGGAGUAGUGCAUCGGUAUGCUGAAAUUUUUCCGAAAAAUCAGUUAGGUCAGGUGGCUUGCCUGAGUCAUAUCAUUCUAUACAUGAUGCCUGUUGACGAUGACAGCCGUUGACGCAGCAAACACUCUUAAUUUUUGAUAUUCCUGAUUUCUAAAGUUUUAAAAUCAAUAAUUCAUCAUAUCGAACAAUAUCAUAUUCAGCUACGAUGACAUCGACAGAUGGAGGUGACAGCUAUCUUCCACAUUGUAGAAUGAGAGGCUGGAGUGCGGCCGAAUCCACGUAAUUGGUUUCCCAAUGUACGAAGCACGUAAGCAUACUGGCCGAAUGUUACAAAUGACAAAAAAUACAAUAGAGCGGUGGCGAAGAUGAUAGAAAAAGUUGCAUCGUGGACAGAAGUGUCAGUUUACCGGUCACCGGGCUCGACAAAUGGAGGUGACAGCAUACUACAACUUUGUAGAAUUUGAUGAUGCAGUGAAGAUGAUUUCCCGAAGUACAAAGCACGGGAGAAUGCUGGCCGAAUGUUACAAAUGAUGAAGCAUACGAUGUCGCAGUGGCAAAGAUGAUAGAAGUAGGUGCAUCGAAGACAGAAGUGCCAGUUCUCCGAUCACCGGGCUCAACAAAUCUGUCAAGAUAUUACUCUGGAUAUCCCUUAUAUCAGAUCUGGACGUUCGGGGGGUUGCUUGGGUACGGAUUUGCAUUGUAUGCGUCGCUACGUAAUCGGUGCCUUGUUGCUGGCUGGCAGUCGUUAUGCAGUAUAAUCGAUUCUCGAAUGACGAAUCGCAACUGCGUUCUUUCGACUUUUCGUCCGGUUCAGUUUUCACUUGGCACUCGGAGAGCACACAUAAAUAACUGGGAAAAUGCAUUGAACGGGGUGAUUGAAUAGAUUGUGCAGAAUCCCGUUCGGAGUAGUGCAUCGGUAUGCUGAAAUUUUUCCGAAAAAUCAGUUAGGUCAGGUGGCUUGCCUGAGUCAUAUCAUUCUAUACAUGAUGCCUGUUGACGAUGACAGCCGUUGACGCAGCAAACACUCUUAAUUUUUGAUAUUCCUGAUUUCUAAAGUUUUAAAAUCAAUAAUUCAUCAUAUCGAACAAUAUCAUAUUCAGCUACGAUGACAUCGACAGAUGGAGGUGACAGCUAUCUUCCACAUUGUAGAAUGAGAGGCUGGAGUGCGGCCGAAUCCACGUAAUUGGUUUCCCAAUGUACGAAGCACGUAAGCAUACUGGCCGAAUGUUACAAAUGACAAAAAAUACAAUAGAGCGGUGGCGAAGAUGAUAGAAAAAGUUGCAUCGUGGACAGAAGUGUCAGUUUACCGGUCACCGGGCUCGACAAAUGGAGGUGACAGCAUACUACAACUUUGUAGAAUUUGAUGAUGUAGUGAAGAUGAUUUCCCGAAGUACAAAGCACGUGAGAAUGCUGGCCGAAUGUUACAAAUGAUGAAGCAUACGAUGUCGCAGUGGCAAAGAUGAUAGAAGUAGGUGCAUCGAGGACAGAAGUGCCAGUUCUCCGAUCACCGGGCUCAACAAAUCUGUCAAGAUAUUACUCUGGAUAUACUUUAUAUCAGAUCUGGACGUUCGGGGGGUUGCUUGGGUACGGAUUUGUAUUGUAUGCGUCGCUACGUAAUCGGUGCCUUGUUGCUGGCUGGCAGUCGUUAUGCAGUAUAAUCGAUUCUCGAAUCGUUCGCAACUGCGUUCUUUCGACUUUUCGUCCGGUUCAGUUUUCACUUGGCACUUGGAGAGCACACAUAAAUAAAUGGGAAAAUGCAUUGAACGGGGUGAUUGAAUAGAUUGUGGAGAAUCCCGUUCGGAGUAGUGCAUCGGUAUGCUGAAAUUUUUCCGAAGAAUCAAAUGAGAGGCUGGAGUGCGGCCGAAUCCACGUAAUUGGUUUCCCAAUGUACGAAGCACGUAAGCAUACUGGCCGAAUGUUACAAAUGACAAAACAUACAAUAGAGCGGUGGCAAAGAUGAUAGAAAAAGUUGCAUCGUGGACAGAAGUGUCAGUUUACCGGUCACCGGGCUCGACAAGUGAGUUGAAUUGAAAAAUCACACAGGAUAAUCAAGACGUACAAAAUGUAUUACCGAGAAGUGAGGUGUCGAUUCAUAGUGUCACGCCAGGAGGUUAGAUGAGGCUAGGUGAGGUGGCUAGACUUGCUGAUUUCAUGCCGAACAUAAAGCCUGUCAACGAUGACAGCUAAUAGCGCUAAUAAGAUUCUAAAUGUUUGUUGUUUUUCACCCCUGAAGUUUUCAAAUCGAUAAUUAAUUGUAUCGCACUUUGAUUCGACAAUAGUGUAAUUCAGCUAUCGUAACACUGAAAGAUGGAGGUGACAGCAUACUACAACUUUGUAGAAUUUGAUAAUGCAGUGCAGCUGAUUUCCCGAAGUACAAGGCACGUGAGAAUGCUGGCCGAAUGUUACAAAUGAUGAAGCAUACGAUGUCGCAGUGGCAAAGAUGAUAGAAGUAGGUGCAUCGAGGACAGAAGUGCCAGUUCUCCGAUCACCGGGCUCAACAAAUCUGUCAAGAUAUUACUAUGGAUAUCCCUUAUAUCAGAUCUGGACGUUCGGGGGGUUGCUUGGGUAUGGAUUUGUAUUGUACGCGUCGCUACGUAAUCGGUGCCUUGUUGCUGGCUGGCAGUCGUUAUGCAGUAUAAUCGAUUCUCGAAUCGUUCGCAACUGCGUUCUUUCGACUUUUCGUCCGGUUCAGUUUUCACUUGGCACUUGGAGAGCACACUUAAAUAACUGGGAAAAUGCAUUGAACGGGGUGAUUGAAUAGAUUGUGCAGAAUCCCGUUCGGAGUAGUGCAUCGGUAUGCUGAAAUUUUUCCGAAAAAUCAGUUAGGUCAGGUGGCUUGCCUGAGUCAUAUCAUUCUAUACAUGAUGCCUGUUGACGAUGACAGCCGUUGACGCAGCAAACACUCUUAAUUUUUGAUAUUCCUGAUUUCUAAAGUUUUAAAAUCAAUAAUUCAUCAUAUCGAACAAUAUCAUAUUCAGCUACGAUGACAUCGACAGAUGGAGGUGACAGCUAUCUUCCACAUUGUAGAAUGAGAGGCUGGAGUGCGGCCGAAUCCACGUAAUUGGUUUCCCAAUGUACGAAGCACGUAAGCAUACUGGCCGAAUGUUACAAAUGACAAAAAAUACAAUAGAGCGGUGGCGAAGAUGAUAGAAAAAGUUGCAUCGUGGACAGAAGUGUCAGUUUACCGGUCACCGGGCUCGACAAGUGAGUUGAAUUGAAAAAUCACACAGGAUAAUCGAGACGUACAAAAUGUAUUACCGAGAAGUGAGGUGUCGAUUCAUAGUGUCACGCCAGGAGGUUAGAUGAGGCUAGGUGAGGUGGCUAGACUUGCUGAUUUCAUGCCGAACAUAAAGCCUGUCAACGAUGACAGCUAAUAGCGCUAAUAAGAUUCUAAAUGUUUGUUGUUUUUCACCCCUGAAGUUUUCAAAUCGAUAAUUAAUUGUAUCGCACUUUGAUUCGACAAUAGUGUAAUUCAGCUAUCGUAACACUGAAAGAUGGAGGUGACAGCAUACUACAACUUUGUAGAAUUUGAUAAUGCAGUGCAGCUGAUUUCCCGAAGUACAAGGCACGUGAGAAUGCUGGCCGAAUGUUACAAAUGAUGAAGCAUACGAUGUCGCAGUGGCAAAGAUGAUAGAAGUAGGUGCAUCGAGGACAGAAGUGCCAGUUCUCCGAUCACCGGGCUCAACAAAUCUGUCAAGAUAUUACUAUGGAUAUCCCUUAUAUCAGAUCUGGACGUUCGGGGGGUUGCUUGGGUGUGGAUUUGUAUUGUAUGCGUCGCUACGUAAUCGGUGCCUUGUUGCUGGCUGGCAGUCGUUAUGCAGUAUAAUCGAUUCUCGAAUCGUUCGCAACUGCGUUCUUUCGACUUUUCGUCCGGUUCAGUUUUCACUUGGCACUUGGAGAGCACACUUAAAUAACUGGGAAAAUGCAUUGAACGGGGUGAUUGAAUAGAUUGUGCAGAAUCCCGUUCGGAGUAGUGCAUCGGUAUGCUGAAAUUUUUCCGAAAAAUCAGUUAGGUCAGGUGGCUUGCCUGAGUCAUAUCAUUCUAUACAUGAUGCCUGUUGACGAUGACAGCCGUUGACGCAGCAAACACUCUUAAUUUUUGAUAUUCCUGAUUUCUAAAGUUUUAAAAUCAAUAAUUCAUCAUAUCGAACAAUAUCAUAUUCAGCUACGAUGACAUCGACAGAUGGAGGUGACAGCUAUCUUCCACAUUGUAGAAUGAGAGGCUGGAGUGCGGCCGAAUCCACGUAAUUGGUUUCCCAAUGUACGAAGCACGUAAGCAUACUGGCCGAAUGUUACAAAUGACAAAAAAUACAAUAGAGCGGUGGCGAAGAUGAUAGAAAAAGUUGCAUCGUGGACAGAAGUGUCAGUUUACCGGUCACCGGGCUCGACAAAUGGAGGUGACAGCAUACUACAACUUUGUAGAAUUUGAUGAUGCAGUGAAGAUGAUUUCCCGAAGUACAAAGCACGUGAGAAUGCUGGCCGAAUGUUACAAAUGAUGAAGCAUACGAUGUCGCAGUGGCAAAGAUGAUAGAAGUAGGUGCAUCGAAGACAGAAGUGCCAGUUCUCCGAUCACCGGGCUCAACAAAUCUGUCAAGAUAUUACUAUGGAUAUCCCUUAUAUCAGAUCUGGACGUUCGGGGGGUUGCUUGGGUGUGGAUUUGUAUUGUAUGCGUCGCUACGUAAUCGGUGCCUUGUUGCUGGCUGGCAGUCGUUAUGCAGUAUAAUCGAUUCUCGAAUCGUUCGCAACUGCGUUCUUUCGACUUUUCGUCCGGUUCAGUUUUCACUUGGCACUUGGAGAGCACACUUAAAUAACUGGGAAAAUGCAUUGAACGGGGUGAUUGAAUAGAUUGUGCAGAAUCCCGUUCGGAGUAGUGCAUCGGUAUGCUGAAAUUUUUCCGAAAAAUCAGUUAGGUCAGGUGGCUUGCCUGAGUCAUAUCAUUCUAUACAUGAUGCCUGUUGACGAUGACAGCCGUUGACGCAGCAAACACUCUUAAUUUUUGAUAUUCCUGAUUUCUAAAGUUUUAAAAUCAAUAAUUCAUCAUAUCGAACAAUAUCAUAUUCAGCUACGAUGACAUCGACAGAUGGAGGUGACAGCUAUCUUCCACAUUGUAGAAUGAGAGGCUGGAGUGCGGCCGAAUCCACGUAAUUGGUUUCCCAAUGUACGAAGCACGUAAGCAUACUGGCCGAAUGUUACAAAUGACAAAAAAUACAAUAGAGCGGUGGCGAAGAUGAUAGAAAAAGUUGCAUCGUGGACAGAAGUGUCAGUUUACCGGUCACCGGGCUCGACAAAUGGAGGUGACAGCAUACUACAACUUUGUAGAAUUUGAUGAUGCAGUGAAGAUGAUUUCCCGAAGUACAAAGCACGUGAGAAUGCUGGCCGAAUGUUACAAAUGAUGAAGCAUACGAUGUCGCAGUGGCAAAGAUGAUAGAAGUAGGUGCAUCGAAGACAGAAGUGCCAGUUCUCCGAUCACCGGGCUCAACAAAAUUUCAGAAUGCAGUCCAGUUGAUUCCAUGCGAUUGGUUUUCCGAUGUACUAAGCACCAAUGCAUACUGUCCGGACCUCAUAAAUUGAGAGGCAUACGAUAGAGCAUUAGUGCAUACGAUUUGCCCUCUAAAUUUCGAAAUAUAAGAAUAAUGCAUUCAAAA